rnacentral:lncRNA from 1 species
GUAUAAGGACAGAUUUGAGGUUUUUCUGUACUUUUAAUGAGCUAGAAAAUGCAUACUAUAAAUAGAAUAUACAAAUGAUUUUACACAAAUGAAGCAUUAAAAAUCACAAAUCUUAUAUUUGGUUAUCCACAGUCUAUAAAAUAAUGUUCCCAAAUUAUAUAGUUUAAAAUACACAAUGUUUCAAGUUGCAAGACAAAACCAGGGUAGUUUUGGCCCUAAAUCAUAGCUAACAUAAGUAGGAAUUAUAAUUAAUUUUAUAAUUGUGUUUAAAUUUUAAAUACUCUAGAAUCUGAAAAUAUUAAAUAUUAAAUAGAUGGAGGGAUCAAAUUAUCAAGUUUUUUAACAAAAUUGAGGUAAAAAUCUGCAUUAAAUUACACCAAGAAAAACAUUUCUAAAACAUUGUUUCCAUAACUCAUUAUAAAUAUUUCAUCUUCCGAAAGUACUCUUUGAUUACCUCUGGCCUUCUGGGUCUGGUAAUUAAGUUGACUUAAUAUUUGCACAUAGCUACUGAUUACUCAAUACAGGCCUAUCAGAUAAAACUAAAAUGCUGCAACUUAAUCAGAAUGAUGCAAUCUUGUCUUAUAUAAAUAUACAAAUCACAGUAUGCUGACACUAGAUAACUUCAGCUUUAUUUGCCAAAGGGGAUUUAGAAUAUACUACAAAAUUGUAUAUAAAAUAACCCUUUACAAGGAUUUACUAGGAUGACUGCAAAGAAAGGCAAAUUAAAUAUACCUGGUCCCAUAUAAGAAUUGUUGCCUAACCUCAUAUACUAAUUUGAAUAUGAAGACUCACUUUUUAUUUCUUAUUUUUUUGAAACAGGGUCUCGCUCUGUCACCCAGGCUGGAGUGCAGUGGUGUGAUCUCAGCUCACUGCAACCUCUGCCUCUUGGGUUCAAGCGAUUCUCCUACCUCAGCCUCACAAGUAGCUGGGACUACAGGCGUGCACCACCAUGCCUGGCUAAUUUUUUGUAUUUUUAGUAGAGAAGGGGUUUCUCCAUGUUGGUCACACUGGUUUUGAACUCCUAAUCUCAGGUGAUCCACCCGCCUCGGACUCCCAAAGUGCUGGGAUUACAGGUAUGCACUACCAUGCCUGUUUGUUUUUUGUUUUUGUUUUUGUAGAGACAGGGGUCUUGCUG